rnacentral:lncRNA from 1 species
CAACCCUAAAGAAACAUAGUUGAAGAAACCAUAGAUCGGCCGCCCAAGAAACAUAGCUAAUAUUGUGUCCUUCCGUUCUUCGCCAAUUGAUAAAAGGAAUCUUCACACCCCACACGUAUUUCCUAAACCCUAGCUAUCAAAAUCAUCUUCCUUCUUCUUGAUUAUUCUGCGAUCCAUAUGCAAUCAGAUGGUGAUGGUGGUGGCCUAAAGAGAACGAUGACAGCGGCAUGGGUUGAUUUAGGGUUUCCCCAAUGGUGGUCUUAUAAUGGUUUUGGUUUAACGCAACGAUGAAAGGGCGGCGGCUAGGGUUCCACCAGCACAUAAAUUGGUAUCUUUCGAUUUUAUUUUUAAACUUCUUAUUCAGAUUUUAUUUUUGUUUUUUAUUUGUUUUUGGUAAACUAUUUAUUUUUCAAGUUUUUGUUAUCGGGUAAGUUGAAUUGUAUAUAUAUUUAUAACGUUUUCUCAAAUUACUCAAUUGGUUCUUUGGGAUAUGGCGUUGAAUUUCAAACGGUGAGAGAAAGAUCCGUUCUUUUCUGCUGCAGAAGAAGUCCAGGAAUCUACCUGCAGUAUGGAAUCUACAUUACAGAACAUUGAUUCUUGCAUUGAAUGAACCUUAUGUUUGGAAGACAGAAGAACUUCGAAGGGAUUUACAAAUCGCCCUCGGCACCGCUAAAUGGCAGUUUGCUUUCUCAGAUUGUAUAUUUAAAGGCCACUUUAGCACGGAAGGAAGGGGAACAUUAAAGUGUUCAGGAUCAGAGGAAGUUAAUAGGAGAAAAAGGAAACAAUGAGUAAUGGCAGUGAUGCUUCAUUUGGCUACCCUGGAUGCCUAAUACUAUACAAGACUUUCAACAUUGGGAUAGAUUUGGACAGCCGUGUAACAAGCUUCCAAGGAAAACGAUGAAGCACCGAAUCAACCCGAGGAAGCAAUGAAUAUUGAGGUGGAUGAUUCUGUUGUAAAGCAAGAGGAAGAAGAACGUGAGUCAGCCGAGGUUGCAAUGAAAGAGGGUGAUGCAUCUUGUGAGGUUGAAGAUGCAAGGGGGUCUAUCAAUGAUGAGAAGAAUGGUGGUGAUGAUCCACUGGUGUUAUCUGAUUUGUCAACUGCUGACGUGCCAGUGAUGCCAAAAAAAUAUAUAAAUUAUAAUGGAUGUAUCAAGUUUGAAAAGUUAUAUGAACCAAGGGGUUUUUUUUCAAAAAUGAAAUCACAAAGGACAAAUUUUUGUAUAGUGCGUGCAAAUUGGGUUGACAAUCUAAUUCAGUUUUCAUCUUAUAACAUACCUUGUGCUUAAGUAAUAUUUGGCAUCUUAUAUAGUUUGUAAAUAUAAAAUGCAGGUUUACGGGGCGUUCCAUUAUCUUGGAGAGAUUCUAUCCCUAGGGAUGUUACGGUCCCGUUUUGAGUCGUUACCUGGAGCAUUUAAUGGUUGCUUGAUUCCACCGAGAAAAGUGAUCCAGUGAAAAAGAAAGGACUUAAGGCUACCUAGUCUCGUAAUUACGAUGCAAUUUCUUAUUCCAAAGUAUGCAUAACCCCAGUUUGAAAUGUAGUCUUCUUUGUCUCAAAGUAUGCAUAACCCCAGUUUGUCCAAUAAUGUGGAAUUGUCAUUCUUCAUCAUCUGGCCAUGACUAUCUCAACUGGAAAUUUAAUGAAUGGACAUGAGGUUAAUAGCUGAAUUAAGUUAUGUACGGACAAGAGAAAGUUUGGAGGACCUUUCAAGCCAUCGGUGACAAUGCUUUUGCUUAUGCUUAUUCUACUGUUCUUAUUGAGAUCCAGGGGGUGUAAUAUUCAAACUACCUUACUUGUGUUAGAAGAUGGUCAAGAGCGAUUCACAAGCCUUUAGUCCAAGUGGUAACAAACAUGUAUAAUUCCCAAGUUGUAUACAUAACCAAUAUUUGUGUUUUCCUUGAUGUUUUUGUACACGGCUUAUAAAGAACUUUGUGACUAUUUUAUGUAAUGUCACUUUAUUUGCAUUACUUUUAUCGAUACACUUAUGAUUAAUGUAAUUUAAAUUUUCCUACCCGGGUUUUUGCCCGAGGAAUAACCUAGUUUAGUAUAUAGAUAAAACAAGGGAAUAUGUCACAUAAUAGUAACCAAGUUUCAAAAGUGUUCUAAUUAGGUCACUCGGAUCGUUUUUGUCCCAAUUAGAUAACUUAACAUUCAAAUCGAGUCAUGUCCUUUUUUCUAUGUGUCAAGAAAAAAAAUGAAGAAUAAGAUGUCGGGAUCAGAUUAUUCUAAUAUAUGAAAUUAUAUUUAUUAAAAAUUAAAACACUUUAAUUACAUUAAAAAUUAAAAAAAUAAGUUACAAU